rnacentral:rRNA from 1 species
CAUGGUUCGAAAUUGAAAGGCGGCUUCGGCUGUCACUUAUGGAUGGACCCGCGUCGCAUUAGCUAGUUGGUGAGGUAACGGCUCACCAAGGCAACGAUGCGUAGCCGACCUGAGAGGGUGAUCGGCCACACUGGGACUGAGACACGGCCCAGACUCCUACGGGAGGCAGCAGUAGGGAAUCUUCCGCAAUGGACGAAAGUCUGACGGAGCAACGCCGCGUGAGUGAUGAAGGCUUUCGGGUCGUAAAACUCUGUUGUUAGGGAAGAACAAGUGCUAGUUGAAUAAGCUGGCACCUUGACGGUACCUAACCAGAAAGCCACGGCUAACUACGUGCCAGCAGCCGCGGUAAUACGUAGGUGGCAAGCGUUAUCCGGAAUUAUUGGGCGUAAAGCGCGCGCAGGUGGUUUCUUAAGUCUGAUGUGAAAGCCCACGGCUCAACCGUGGAGGGUCAUUGGAAACUGGGAGACUUGAGUGCAGAAGAGGAAAGUGGAAUUCCAUGUGUAGCGGUGAAAUGCGUAGAGAUAUGGAGGAACACCAGUGGC